rnacentral:rRNA from 1 species
UGGGGAAUCUUGCGCAAUGGGCGAAAGCCUGACGCAGCGACGCCGCGUGAGGGAUGAAGGCCCUCGGGUUGUAAACCUCUUUCAGGAGGGACGAAGCGAAAGUGACGGUACCUCCAGAAGAAGCCCCGGCCAACUACGUGCCAGCAGCCGCGGUAAUACGUAGGGGGCGAGCGUUGUCCGGAUUUAUUGGGCGUAAAGAGCUCGUAGGCGGCUGUGCAAGUCGGACGUGAAAUACCACGGCUCAACCGUGGGGAGCCGUCCGAUACUGCUCAGCUGGAGGCAGGUAGGGGAGAGUGGAAUUCCUGGUGUAGCGGUGAAAUGCGCAGAUAUCAGGAGGAACACCGGUGGCGAAGGCGGCUCUCUGGGCCUGUCCUGACGCUGAGGAGCGAAAGCUGGGGGAGCGAACAGG